UACGAAGGGGGCUAGCGUUGCUCGGAAUUACUGGGCGUAAAGCGCACGUAGGCGGCUUUCUAAGUCGGGGGUGAAAUCCUGGAGCUCAACUCCAGAACUGCCUUCGAUACUGGAGAGCUUGAGUCCGGGAGAGGUGAGUGGAACUGCGAGUGUAGAGGUGAAAUUCGUAGAUAUUCGCAAGAACACCAGUGGCGAAGGCGGCUCACUGGCCCGAUACUGACGCUGAGGUGCGAAAGCGUGGGGGAGCAAACAGG
rnacentral:rRNA from 1 species